UGGAGUCGGUGCGGUGUCGGUCCGAGGGACUGAAUUUCGGUGAAUUUGAUAGCAAUUGAUUUGAAUUUUGCUCAGAUGGGUUGUGAAUUUAUAUUCAGCAAGUGUCACAAACAUGGAAAGGCAAGUUUACAAAGGACAGGAGAUUUCAAUUUGGAAAGGCUUCAAUUGACGUAGCCGAAGAGAGGCGAGAAGCCGAAGAUAGACCGACUCCAAACGGUGCCCAGUGCAAUCAUGCUUCUGGUGCGGAGUUGUCAGGAUGGAGUCCGAGGAAUCAAGGAAGGCAGAGGACCUGCGUAUGAAGGAACCAGCCCUGUGGAUGAAGAUCUGAGGUGCAUACAGAGGGAUCCCACUGAAAGACCAGGUGCAAUGCUGCAUUGAUAAGAUCCAGAUUCAAGAGCAUGGAUGCUACCAGAUCCUGUGAUUUGAAGUUACCUACCAGUGUCACUGCUGCUACAAAUGACAUCAGCAACACUUCCUUUGGUGAAAGUUUAGAGGAGCAAACAGUUGGUACUCUGUGUAGUCAAGCAGUGGAGUUUUGCCACAAUCAUGAAGUUGAUUAAGGUGUCAUUUUUUUUUUUUGCUCUGGCUUCUGGGACACCUUGGAUCUACAUUGCAACCUAUGCUAGUGUUCAACAUUUCGUGUCGUAGUAUCACUGAUGCAAAGCGUGUUGCAUCAUACACAAAUGAGAGCCAGCAAAUUGGCAGAUAUUUUCUAGUGAUAGAGAACUGCAUGCCUUAAGCAAUUGUUGAAGGUGAUAAGUGGUGAAUGGUAGGGCUCAGCCACUCAGCUGCUUCCUUCAAAAGCUAUCAAUCAGCUCUAGAAGAGCUGUCGUCAUAGCAAUGCUUCAUAUGUGAAGGAUACUUGCCUGAACAGAACAUUGUGGAUUUGUUAAUUAAGUACCUCUUUAUUACAAGUUUGUGCCCAUUACAAGCCAAGCUUAGUUUACUUAGUUCGUUGCAAGUUUUCCAGGCAGCCUUCACACUUGUGUCGCUGAAUAUUAAACUUUGACUGAUAGACCGACGAGAUAUUGUCCCUUUCGCAUCAGAUUGUAAUCAGUCAGUCGUGUUGGUAGAAGGUACAGUCUGCCUUAAAAGUACCGCGCAAAGUGACGGUGGAUCCAUCAAGCCUGACCGAGGAAGGGCCUGC